CACAAAGCACUCGCAUUUCCCAGCCUGGAUAUGCUAGAGUGAGUGAGGCUGUCCGAGCCGCUCGACCUCACAACCCUUUCCUGGAGGUGUGUUUGUCAGUUUGGCAGCCCUCGUAUGCCCGGCCCACGCCCGGCUAGCACCCGCCUGUGACGUACUCCGCGUGGAUCAAAGGCCCGCAAAGCCUGCGGCGCCUGCAGCUGCCACACUGAGGACUCACAGGGAGCAGAAUGCUGCGGGUAGGGGCGGUGGUGGGCGGAGAGCCCGCCUUUGUGGCUGCUCUGUCCCUGAGGAGUGCACCCUGCUGGCCGCCACACCCAAUCUGGCUCAGUGUAGAGUGGCCAGCCAAGGGCAAGCCACACUGCUCCACCUGUGGUGCUCCUGGAGGGUCAGGGUCGUCUCACCAGGAUGGCCAUGGGCUGCACCUUAGAGCUAUUUCUGUUGACUCUAAAUCUAUGUUUAUACAUCGUCUACCAGAAGAAACACCUCAAACACUUAGCAGUACUUUGAGCUCUGGCUUGUGAAAAUUCGGGUUAUCUGCUUGUUCUUUCGUGCCCCUUGUUUACCCAGCUUCUACAAUGCAUACAAAUACAUACUCUUGAAACGA
rnacentral:lncRNA from 1 species